rnacentral:lncRNA from 1 species
AAAAUUUAACAUGCCUGACCCAUUUUACUGAAUACAAAACAUAUGUCAAAACUUAAUCAGUUUAUCAAAUAAUAUAGACAUCACACUUGAAGUAUUAAGUUACUUACCUCUUCUCGCUUAAUCCCUACUUUAGGUAGGCGGAUCAGGUUCACCUGUUAACAUUUAAUUAUUUUUUUUAUAAAUUUUAGAGCUAAGCAAAACCAAAAGUAAUACUAUUGGAUACGGCCCAACAGGCCCCAGAGUUGGCCCAUAAUGGGCAUGGCCCGAUAGGGCCCACAUCGGACACGGCCCAAUGGGCC